rnacentral:misc_RNA from 1 species
CACGCCGUGGGGGGCUGGGAGCCUCUGACCGGAACCCCCCCACCCCCCUACCCGGCCACCCUUGUCUACCGGACCUGUUGCCUCGGCGGGCCUGCAGCGAUGCUGCCGGGGGAGCUUCUCCUCCCCGGGCCCGUGUCCGCCGGGGACACCGCAAGAACCGUCGGUGAACGAUUGGCGUCUGAGCAUGAGAGCGAUAAUAAUCCAAUCAAAACUUUCAACAACGGAUCUCUUGGUUCCGACAUCGAUGAAGAACGCAGCGAAAUGCGAUAAGUAAUGUGAAUUGCAGAAUUCCGUGAAUCAUCGAAUCUUUGAACGCACAUUGCGCCCCCUGGUAUUCCGGGGGGCAUGCCUGUCCGAGCGUCAUUGCAACCCUCAAGCGCGGCUUGUGUGUUGGGCCGUCGUCCCCCCUCGACCGGCGGGACGUGCCCGAAAUGCAGUGGCGGUGUCGAGUUCCGGUGCCCGAGCGUAUGGGGCUUUGCCACCCGCUCUGGAGGCCCGGCCGGCUCCUGCCCACCAUA